AGUGAACGCUGGCGGUAGGCCUAACACAUGCAAGUCGAACGGCAGCACAGUAAGAGCUUGCGCUUACGGGUGGCGAGUGGCGGACGGGUGAGGAAUACAUCGGAAUCUACUUUUUCGUGGGGGAUAACGUAGGGAAACUUACGCUAAUACCGCAUACGACCUACGGGUGAAAGCAGGGGAUCCUCGGACCUUGCGCGAUUGAAUGAGCCGAUGGCGGAUUAGAUAGUUGGGGGGGUAAAGGCCCACCAAGGCGACGAUCCGUAGCUGGUCUGAGAGGAUGAUUAGCCACACUGGAACUGAGACACGGUCCAGACUCCUACGGGAGGCAGCAGUGGGGAAUAUUGGACAAUGGGCGCAAGCCUGAUCCAGCCAUACCGCGUGUGUGAAGAAGGCCUUCGGGUUGUAAAGCCCUUUUUUUGGGGAAGAAGAGCAGCAGGUUAAUACCCCGCUGUUCUGACGUUACCCAAAGAAUAAGCACCGGCUAACUUCGUG
rnacentral:rRNA from 1 species